AAACAGGUCUCUUUUUGCAGCCAGGGAAGCAUUUCUCCACUUGCUCCACAGCUUGCCUUGUGGCAGCUUCACGGGAACACUUAAGGAUGCAGUGGAGUGCUUGGCUGGACCAGCCCAUGACUUCCAGAUGUUGUUGUUCACCUGCUGCAGAGCAAAUGACGGACCUCCUCCCUCCACCCCACGCUUUUGAAGAAAUGCGUGCGUAUGUGUGCGGUGCCCAGCACUCCCCUACGGCUGCGAACCACAGCGCUCUUGCGCUGAAGCAUCAGCUGCACAGGCUGCUUUCGAUGAGCUGGAAAAGAGGGCGAGCUCAUUUGACUGUGCACAGGAGACACACGUGUCACUGGCACGUUCUUGCACCUAUUUUUGUCUCCUCCUUGGAGGAGACACGUAUCCUUGCUCUUAAGCAAGUGCUGCUCUCUUCCUUGCAAAUACCAGGGUGGAUCUCUGCUCCUGGGAGGACGUUUCGGUGCAUCCCAUCGGGAGGUGACAGCUCAGUAUCAGGGGAAAUGGGACUGUGCUGGAAGUCCCUGCCUGUUGGACAUGGCAGGCUUUUGGGGGUGUGUGUCACAUCGUAUGUUGGAAGUUGACACAUAGCUGGAUGUAGAAAUCUUGGCUUUCCCGGAGGCCUGGGUCUUCCCUGGGGCUGCUGCUCUGUCUCCUCGCAUUUCUGGGGAGAGGAAGCUGCGGCUAACCUCACCGCGAACACAAAUUAGUUGUUUUUUGUUGCUUUUUGGGUUGGGGUUUUUUUUUUUUUGAAUUUGUGUGUUCAGUUCGAACAAUAAAACAUCUGUUCCUGAGCACAGCAGCUGGACCAAACUGAAAUGACGUUAGCAUCAAUUAUCCUCUGGGAUGGGGAGAACGGUGCAGAUGAUUGCCUUAACACUGAAUAACAAAAGAGACCAACAGCUUGGCUAGGUGGCUCGUGUUCCCGGGGAGUCUCCAAACACCCCACCUGCUCGAGCCCUCCCGUUGGGGCGCCCGCUGUUGUGCACGGCUGCUCCGGGUACCAACCAUCGGCCAUGGGGUGAAUGGAGGAGAUGCUUUUGCAAUGACUGGAGAAUGAGACCUAUUUUUGGUGGGAGGGCUUAUGGAUACGGCGGUGGCAGAGAUUUUUCUGAAUGCACCGAUCCAAUACAAAUAACCCUGGUACAAAAUCAAAGUGGUUUUUUGCGGGGAGGGCUGCAGGGAUGAAGGUGCACCCACCUCUUGUGGGGCCAGCCGGGAUAUCGGCUGUGGUGGGCGCAGGCAGCCAGCCUGGAGCGGAGCUGGGGUUCGCAGCGGGAUGGGAUGAUGCAGAAUCACGUUCCCUGGGUACAGAAAGGGGCUAUUAACGGGGAGAAAGGAGGGGGAGCGAUGGAGCACAAUGGCUCUGAUUUGUUGGCAGUCGAGACCUACAGUCCCUGGCAGCACCUCAAAGCAGCUGUGAAGUGCCAGUCGGUGGCGAUGCUUCGGCGCGUGAUGCGGGCGCCUGACCCUGGUGUAAGGCUGGGACACGGGCUGCGCGGUGGGGAGGGCACCGACCCGGCUUCUCCUCCCUGGGGCCCUGCCGAGGAAACCCAAGCGUGCUUGUGAUGGGCUGAGCGCGCCAGAGACAUGGUGGCUUUGCUUUCCAGGGUUCUCCUCAAACGCAUCUGUCCUACUAACCACACCUGGCUAAAUUUUAUCUCUUAUAGGACUGCGCGCAUGCACACACACACACACAAAAAAAAUCCUCUCAUCCCAUCCUGAACAAGCUCCCUAGAAGAAGGUUAUUUCCCCACAUCCUGGUAGCACAGAGAAAAACCGUGACUGUGGGAAAACUCAAGAAAAUUAUCAAGAACUAGCAUUUUUAUGAACGAGCUGCUUUAUACCUGCACAGCCAGAUGCCUGAAUAACUUAAUGAAAGCGAGUGUUUGGGGUGAGCAGCAGCGGGGGGAAGAGCCCGUUUGGGAAUAACAGCUUGCUCCGAAAACCCAACAGCAUCAAGCACCCGUUUUGUUUGGCUUCUUCCUUGAACGUCGUGGGUACCACCAUGGGACAGUGUGUCCGCGAUGCACGCGUGUCCCGGGCUCUGAUGCUGUACGUCCGCACACCCGGGUGCACUCCGGCGCUGCGGCUCUCGCAGGAGCAUCACCCACAUCACCCAGCAAAGACAUUGCUGAGACAACCCCCUUGCUUCCUUGCCCGAGCCGUUUUACUCUCAUCCCUUAUUGCCUUUGGCCUCCAGCCUUGGUUUUAUCAGCAAGCCACACUGGGCCAAAACCACCCCAGGUGUCACGUCCGAUGUGCAUCGCCUCUCUGCUCAGAGUCUGGGCUCCUGCCCUGGCCCCUCCUACCAGAAAACAGAGUCCAGCUGGGGAAAAAAAAAAAAAUCCCCAAAAUCCUCACUCCGAAGAGGCUUGGCAGAAUUAGGAGCAAAAGUAAAGGAAGCUUUGGCUUUAAAAAGAAUAAAAAAAAAAUAAAUCACUUUUUGUCCCAAAGCAACUGAACUUACCCCAGUAUGUGUAAUUUUUUUUGUUAUUUUAUGUACUGUACUUCAGCCUGUUUUCUCAAGCCUUACAAAAGUGCAUGUGUCGUCAUCCUGUUUGCCUGUCCCUUCCCUCACUAACAUGCUGAACCGGCUGAUUUUGGGUAGAUCUGGCAAAAAGACAUUAACUUCUCCCCAAUAUUCAGGUCUUUCUGGCUGCAGGAAAACAGGCACCAGUGCUGGGGGCUGGGCUGAUUACAAAGAGAGAGAGGCUCGUUGGGUCCCUGUUUUCCCGAAAAUUCCUGGCUGGUAGUGACCCCAUCAGCUGGAGCAUCGGGCAGCCGGGGAGGUGUCCGAGUCGGCAUGUGGCAGCCUGGAGGGGAAGGGGAGCGAUCCAGGAUGCCCCGGGCAGGACGGGGGCGGGCAAUGGAUUUAAUAAGAAAAGCUCCCCCCCUGCACACCCCCAAGGCUGGCUUAGGGAAGAGUUCGUCAGCCAGAUGCAAAACUUGGUAAUUCCUUGGUGCCGGGGUGAGGAGGGCUGUGCUGAGAGGCCGGGGGUGCGUGCGGGAUGGGGCUACCCUGACUCCGGGCAUCUCUUCCCAUCCCAGCCUGGCAGCAGGAACAGCCUGGAGAGCCCCUCUGAUGCACCGGGAUCUGGAGGGAUGGAGACAAGAUGAAGGCUGAGGUCCUUGCAGCCUGCCUGAUUCUCCAGUGAUCCACCCGCAAUCUCGGGUUUCUUCUUCUGACGCAGUUUGCAGUGGCCGGCUUUUCCCAACCUGCUUGGUAAUCCUAAGUAAGAGGCGGCAGCUGCCUGCCCGUCUCUGGAGGAGCUGGACUUUAAUCCCUACCUACGGCGCUGGUGCUCUGGCUCCCUGUGAGCUGUCUUACAUCUGCAAGGACUGAGCCUCCCGUGCAUCACUCGCGCCUGUCCAGGGCAAAAUGUGCCCUGAGGGGUGGGGGGGGCGGUGGGGAACAGGGUUUUGUGGUCACCAGGUAAGGAGCCAGUGGGGCAGGGCUGGGAUAUACAGCAGCCGCCUACGGAUCAUCACCCGGAGCAGGCUUUGGAGAGCGGGAUGGGACAGAAAAUGCUGAACAAGGCGCAGGAGGAGCACGAGGCAUGUGCAAUGCGUCCGCCUGCCUAGGAAAAGGAGGUGGGGUAGGGGAAGAAGGGGAAAAAAGCAAGGCAGGGGCAGCGCGCUGCCUGCCGCAUGGCACCUGAGACACCGGCGGGGUGCUGGGUGGGCAGUGACCGGGUGAGGGAUGCACAGCUCUGCCUCCCCCGGGCACCUCUGCACUGUACCUCUUCCUGCUGCCAGGGUAGGGCAUAGCCUCAGGCUGGGGCUAAAAAUGUCGUAAUGACAUCUGCAUCCCACUUCGGUGGGGGUUUUGUGCUCUGCAGGGCUCCGGGUCAGCCCCGCUCGCUAAGGCGGGGGGCUCCUCCACCCUCAAGCCGGACUCAGCAUCGCUGCCUCGGGCAGCUCGGGGGGGCUGCGGGACCGGGAGCUCUCCUCCCCCUGGAACUCCUCACCCCUUCAUUUCAACACACCCCUCCACCUCCAGCUUGUUUGCACAGCUCACAAUGUUCCGAGCAUUAUCAGUGUUUGCCCUGUUACCACUGUUUGUGCUAGUUGCACUUUAAAGGCAAUAAAGUCAAGCUUUGUGUGC